UGGGGAAUAUUGGACAAUGGGGGCAACCCUGAUCCAGCAAUGCCGCGUGUGUGAAGAAGGUCUUCGGAUUGUAAAGCACUUUCGACGGGGACGAUGAUGACGGUACCCGUAGAAGAAGCCCCGGCUAACUUCGUGCCAGCAGCCGCGGUAAUACGAAGGGGGCUAGCGUUGCUCGGAAUGACUGGGCGUAAAGGGCGUGUAGGCGGUUUACACAGUCAGAUGUGAAAUCCCCGGGCUUAACCUGGGAGCUGCAUUUGAUACGUGUAGACUAGAGUGUGAGAGAGGGUUGUGGAAUUCCCAGUGUAGAGGUGAAAUUCGUAGAUAUUGGGAAGAACACCGGUGGCGAAGGCGGCAACCUGGCUCAUGACUGACGCUGAGGCGCGAAAGCGUGGGGGAAGCAAGAAUGAUGAUACCCUGGUAGUCCACGCUGUAAACGAUGUGUGCUAGAUGUUGGGUAACUUUGUUAUUCAGUGUCGCAGUUAACGCGUUAAGCACACCGCCUGGGGAGUACGGCCGCAAGGUUGAAAC
rnacentral:rRNA from 1 species